rnacentral:RNase_P_RNA from 1 species
CAGACUAUGCGGCAGCGGAAACGUUUUAGUUUACGAGGAAAGUCCGGGCACCACAGAGCAAGGAUAACUGCUAACAGCAGCCGAGGGCGACCUUAGGGCAAGUGCAACAGAGAUAUACCGCCUCUUUUGAGGUAAGGGUGGAAAGGCGAGGUAAGAGCUCACCGGAGCACAGGAGACUGUGCUGCCAUGUAAACCCUAUCCGGUGCAACGUCUAUUGGUGUUGUGUAUCAACGUCGGCUCGGCGGAUGCACAGCAAUGACGGCUUGAGCAUAUCGGCAACGGUAUGAGUAGAUAAAUUGCCGCACUCGACAGAACCCGGCUUAUCGGUCUGGUC